GUGCACUGCAUAGCAUUUUUUUUGUGGAGGGGGGGGGGUUGCGACAAAGGCUAAUGAUCACAUGAACAUACAUGGACUACGGGGAAGCUGGACGAGAGGAAUGAGUUGUUGACAGAAUCAUACGUGGCACCAAUUACCCCGGUCUGGGCCCGUCAGCUGGAGGAGAGCAGAGCCGGAGGAAGUCAAAAGGACGGCUGAGCGUCUCCUCUGUGGGGUCGGAGGCUGAUGCGCUGACGGGGACACACAUCUCUGAUCCGGAGAGUCACUGUGUGUGUGUGUGUGUGUGUGUGUCGCUGACAUUAAGCCGAUACGGAGGUCGACGUUACCACGUUAGCAUUGCCAUUUUUAGCUUUUAGCGUUGCCAUUCACAUAUACCUGUAACAUGUCAGACCGAACC
ensembl:lncRNA